ACCAUUCCUAGAGACCUUACAGAUACUGUUCCAUGUGCUUCAGUAGAUGGCAGAGAGGAGAGGCUAUGUCUGUGCUCAGCGUUCUGAACUGUGAACACCUGAGGGACUAGCAGCCUGACACU